rnacentral:lncRNA from 1 species
GUGAGAGAAGGAAGGAAUCCUGAGGUGAGAGAAGGAAGGAAUCCUGAGGUGAGGAGAGAAGGAAGGAAUCCUGACGUGAGCAGAGAAGGAAGGAAUCCUGAGGUGAGAGAAGGAAGGAAUCCUGAGGUGAGCAGAGAAGGAAGGAAUCCUGAGGUGAGCAGAGAAGGAAGGAAUCCCGAGGUGAGAGAAGGAAGGAAUCCUGAGGUGAGAGAAGGAAGGAAUCCUGACGUGAGCAGAGAAGGAAGGAAUCCCGAGGUGAGAAGGAAGGAAUCCCGAGGUGAGAGAAGGAAGGAAUCCUGAGGUGAGGAGAGAAGGAAGGAAUCCUGAGGUGAGGAGAGAAGGAAGGAAUCCUGAGGUGAGCAGAGAAGGAAGGAAUCCUGAGGUGAGAGAAGGAAGGAAUCCCGAGGUGAGAGAAGGAAGGAAUCCCGAGGUGAGCAGAGAAGGAAGGAAUCCCGAGGUGAGAGAAGGAAG